rnacentral:rRNA from 1 species
ACUCAAAGGAAUUGACGGGGGUCCGCACAAGCGGUGGAGUAUGUGGUUUAAUUCGAUGAUACGCGAGGAACCUUACCUGGGCUAGAAUGCUAUCUGCCCGUACCUGAAAGGGUAUUUUGUAGCAAUACACAGAUAGUAAGGUGCUGCAUGGCUGUCGUCAGCUCGUGCCGUGAGGUGUUGGGUUAAGUCCCGCAACGAGCGCAACCCCCAUCUUCAGUUGCCAGCACGUAAUGGUGGGAACUCUGAAGAAACUGCCGUCGUAAGACGCGAGGAAGGAGGGGAUGAUGUCAAGUCAUCAUGGCCUUUAUGCCCAGGGCUACACACGUACUACAAUGGGGAGGACAAAGGGCAGCGACCUGGUAACAGGAAGCAAAUCUCAAAAACCUCUUCUCAGUUCAGAUUGAGGUCUGCAACUCGACCUCAUGAAGCUGGAAUCGCUAGUAAUCGCGCAUCAGCAAUGGCGCGGUGAAUACGUUCCCGGACCUUGUACACACCGCCCGU